AAGACUAUAGACCUGCGGAGUACCUGCGGAGGGAUCAUUACUGAGUGAGGGCCCUCUGGGUCCAACCUCCCACCCGUGUUUAUUGUACCUUGUUGCUUCGGUGGGCCCGCCGCAAGGCCGCCGGGGGCUUCCGCCCCGGGCCCGCGCCCACCGGAGACAAACUGAACUCUGUCUGAAUGUUGCAGUCUGAGUAAAAACUUAAUAAGUUAAAACUUUUAGCAAUGGAUCUCUAGAUCGGAA
rnacentral:misc_RNA from 1 species